rnacentral:ncRNA from 1 species
ACCUUAUAUAGAUGUAGUGACGCAAGACAGUUGCGCAUUUCCCUGUAAGGGUAGUGUUUUAAUAGAAGUAUAAGCGACAAGCCUUAUUGUGUGGCUAAGAGUCGAAAUAAGAUGAGUUUAUACGAAACAGGCUAACCGUAAGGCCUUGAGUUGAAAAACUCUAAAAUUAACCUAGAAUUCGAAUUUCUGAAAUUUUGUGUUUUCUAGUUACGGUGGA